GGUAGGGUCCAGUGGCCGGAAGAGCACCGCACAUCGCGCGGUGUCCGGUGCGCCCCCGGAGGCCCAUGAAAUUCCGGAGGACCGAGUACCAUUCACGCCCGGUCGUACUCAUAACCCCAUCAGGUCUCCAAGGUGGACAACCUCUGGCC
rnacentral:ncRNA from 1 species